rnacentral:rRNA from 1 species
AUUGAACGCUGGCGGCAUGCUUUACACAUGCAAGUCGAACGGUAACAGGCCGCAAGGUGCUGACGAGUGGCGCACGGGUGAGUAAUGCAUCUGAACGUGCCCAGUCGUGGGGGAUAACUACUCGAAAGAGUAGCUAAUACCGCAUACGAUCUAUGGAUGAAAGCGGGGGACCGUAAGGCCUCGCGCGAUUGGAGCGGCCGAUGUCAGAUUAGGUAGUUGGUGGGGUAAAGGCUCACCAAGCCAACGAUCUGUAGCUGGUCUGAGAGGACGACCAGCCACACUGGGACUGAGACACGGCCCAGACUCCUACGGGAGGCAGCAGUGGGGAAUUUUGGACAAUGGGCGCAAGCCUGAUCCAGCAAUGCCGCGUGCAGGAAGAAGGCCUUCGGGUUGUAAACUGCUUUUGUACGGAACGAAACGGCUCUGGUUAAUACCCGGGGCUAAUGACGGUACCGUAAGAAUAAGCACCGGCUAACUACGUG